GACUGAGGGACUGACCACCUCAAAACUUUAAGGGUGAUGGACUGAUUACAUCGUCUUCAAGUAUCUUCUGCUUCUAUCAACUUUUCUGUACUUGACUGAAGAAGCCUACUGUGUAGGCGAAACGUUUCAUAAUAAAGAUACCUAACUGUUGCAUAUGUGUCUUACCUAACAACCUGUCGGUAUUUUAUACCAUUUUAAUGUUCAAGGUAGAAAAGGCAUUGAUCCAGUAACCUGUACCUAGUCACACCUUAAAGGCAAGGUUUACUGGCCCUAUGCAGGUGGUGCAGAAUAAUUCAGAUCUUUAUCAUGUGAUAGCACCUCUUCACAAACCUGAAGAAGGUAAAGUCUACCACAUAAUUCAGAUUAAAUAUUCUUUUGAGUUGCCUCAUGCCUCAAUAAUGACCAUGACUUCUGUACCUACAGACCCUGGCAAUGAUCCUGACUCGCAAAGUUCAAGAGGUCCAAAUAUGAUUUCUUAACCUGUCUUGUCUUAACCCUCACACUCUCAUGUUCGGAUUUACAGAAGCACAAUUGGCUGGUCUUGUCGCUCUUCUGCAAUCAUAUUCCAACAUUUUUGGAAUAUCCAAAAAUGUUGGAAUCUCCAGAAACUAACCCAGAAACUACUACAACAAGAAGUAACUUUUCUACUAGACCAUGGAUUAGAAGAGUCAUCGAGUCUGUGAAUCUCACUUUACAUCCUUGUGGAAAAAGCUGAUAGUGUUGAUGUGUACCAAUUACCCUAAAGUAAAUGUGGUCACAGUACCAGUUGCUUACCUUCUGCCUCAUAUGGAUGAUGCGGUAAGGCUAAAUUUGAUUCAAAAUAAGAUAUCAAAGGUUAUUGUCAGGUUCGCUUAACUGACAAGGCCAAGGAAAUCUCUGCCAUUGCGAUUCCUGGAGGCCAUUACCAGUAUACUGUGACCCCAUUUGGCAUGAGGAGCCUGCCGGUCACAUUCCAAAUAUUGAUCUACCAUUCAAUAAAAGGGCAGGUGGGCGUCGAGGCUUACGUGGAUGAUUUAAUUAUAAUUUCUAAAACCUGGAACAAACAUUUUUAGGUCAUUAAGUUUGGAAGGGUAAGGUAGCACUCAAAUCCACUAAUGUUUUAUCCAUUCAAAAGUAUCAGUCUUUCAAGAUAAAAAAAAAUCCCUUCGGUGGUGGUUCCUUGGGAUGAUGGGUUUUACUGUAGAUUUUGCAGUAAUUUUUCAAAUAUUAUAGUCCUUUAACCUCCCUUACCAGCAAUAAAAAAAAAAUAGUUUGCCUAUGUUUCUCAGUAGGCAUUUGGUGUACAAGCAACAGCACUUCCUCAAUUUUAGAAUACUCAGAAAAAUAACUUUCCUCAAGAGUACUCUUUGUAGCCCAUUACCAACAUACUCUGUACAAACUAGAGUAGCCCACCCCAUUUGUGGCCACUUUUGGGCUACAGCAGUUUCCUCAAAUUUGGGAACAAAAUUAGCAGCUUUAUCUAAGCGAAAUGGCUGCUCAGGUCUGUGCCCUGAACCUUGUAAAAGUAGAAACUAUCCUUUCCCUUGCUGCCUUUAAUCUCUAAUAAUUGUCUUGUUGAAUUUUAGAUUCUUCAGCUUGUACCAAGGCUCUUCACCUCCAUUUCAUGAUCACCUGGGGCAAGUGAUGCUGAGCGACUACUUUCAGCAGACAUGUUCACUGGUGAAUUUAUAUUAACACCUAUAAAACCUGAAAAAUUAGUAGUAGGAGAUAAAUGUUUUGAAACAAGUGGUGAUGGUGAUGAGUGGCAGGGAAAAUUACAACUUUGGGAAGAAUCUUUUUCUUCUGAUGAAUAUGAAGAUACUGAAGCCAAAGAUCAAGAGAGAUGGUUUACUGAUGCACAAAGCAGUAGUUUGGAUAAAACUGACUAUGAUGAUAGUGACAAUAUUAAAACUACAGUCCAUCUUAAUGAAGACUGGGGUUAAGAGAUACCAUGGGUACAUAAUGAAGACGGGUUGAGAGGUACCAUGGGUACAUAAUGAAGACUGGAGUUGAGAGGUACCAUGGGUACAUUAGUCCAGCUUGGCUCUCUUUCAUCUUUACUGUUUCAAUGAAACUGGAAUUUUUUAAUUCUUAACAGUAACAUUAUACUGUGUAUUUUGUGGGAAAAAUAUGAUAAAAUUUUAAUUUACUGAAGUGGAAUAUGUUAUUAUUAUUAUGUUUGCUUUCUAAAUUGUUACUAGUAGCUCAUUUUUAAUAAGCUUUCCAAUUCUUGUAAACUCUGAUAAUGUGCUAUAUUCAUAGUUGAGAGUGUACUUAAACCAUCUGCUAUUCCAUUACUUGCAUAUUAUAUUACCUACUUUAUCAACCUAUCAUGUCUUAUAGGCUAUGUGUCCAUGAAUUAAAAUAUACAUUCUA